rnacentral:rRNA from 1 species
GAUGAACGCUGGCGGCGUGCCUAAUACAUGCAAGUCGAGCGAACGGACGAGAAGCUUGCUUCUCAGAUGUUAGCGGCGGACGGGUGAGUAACACGUGGAUAACCUACCUAUAAGACUGGGAUAACUUCGGGAAACCGGAGCUAAUACCGGAUGAUAUUUUGAACCGCAUGGUUCAAAAGUGAAAGACGGUCUUGCUGUCACUUAUAGAUGGAUCCGCGCUGCAUUAGCUAGUUGGUAAGGUAACGGCUUACCAAGGCAACGAUGCAUAGCCGACCUGGGAGGGUGAUCGGCCACACUGGAACUGAGACACGGUCCAGACUCCUACGGGAGGCAGCAGUAGGGAAUCUUCCGCAAUGGGCGAAAGCCUGACGGAGCAACGCCGCGUGAGUGAUGAAGGUCUUCGGAUCGUAAAACUCUGUUAUUAGGGAAGAACAUAUGUGUAAGUAACUGUGCACAUCUUGACGGUACCUAAUCAGAAAGCCACGGCUAACUACGUG